rnacentral:rRNA from 1 species
UACGUAGGGUGCAAGCGUUGUCCGGAAUUAUUGGGCGUAAAGAGCUUGUAGGCGGUUUGUCGCGUCUGCUGUGAAAUUUCGGGGCUCAACCCCGAACUUGCAGUGGGUACGGGCAGACUAGAGUGUGGUAGGGGAGACUGGAAUUCCUGGUGUAGCGGUGAAAUGCGCAGAUAUCAGGAGGAACACCGAUGGCGAAGGCAGCUCGCUGGGACGUGACUGACGCUGAGGAGCGAAAGCGUGGGGAGCGAACAGG